rnacentral:lncRNA from 1 species
CCCUCAUGACUGCUGCUUUUCCUUCACACACUGCACUAAUUUUCAUGUAGAGCACCCCCAAUUAAUAGGUCAUACCACAUGGAGUCUUAUUCCUCCACACACUACACUGAUUUUCAUGCACAGCACCCCUAUUAAAUAGGUUAUACCACAUGGAGUCUUGUUUGAACUCUUCUUUCCCUUUCUUUUUAUUUUAAAAAUUUUAAUCCCACA